rnacentral:rRNA from 1 species
GUUAUACAACUUUCAACAACGGAUCUCUUGGCUCUCGCAUCGAUGAAGAACGCAGCGAAAUGCGAUAACUAAUGUGAAUUGCAGAAUUCAGUGAAUCAUCGAGUCUUUGAACGCACCUUGCGCCCUUUGGUAUUCCAAAGGGSAUGCCUGUUUGAGUGUCAUUAA